UACGUAGGGGGCUAGCGUUGUCCGGAUUUAUUGGGCGUAAAGCGCGUGUAGGCGGCUUUGCAAGUCGGAUGUGAAAGCCCACGGCUCAACCGUGGAAGUGCAUCCGAAACUGCAUGGCUGGAGUCUCGGAGAGGAAGGUGGAAUGCUUGGUGUAGAGGUGAAAUUCGUAGAUAUCAAGCAGAACACCUGCGGCGAAGGCGGCCUUCUGGACGAUGACUGACGCUGAGACGCGAAAGCGUGGGGAGCAAACAGG
rnacentral:rRNA from 1 species